rnacentral:rRNA from 1 species
AAAGGUAAAAUUAGAAUAUUAUUUUGUAAAAAGAAAUUUUUAUUGAAGCUGAAAAAGUUUAGUAAUAAACUAGGAUUAGAUACCCUAUUAUUCUGAAAUUAAUAUACAAAGACUAAAUUAGUAAAAGAUAAAUACUUAAAACUUAAAAAAUUUGGCGGCAAUUUAAUCUUUCCAGAGGAACCUGUUUUAUAAUCGAUAAACCACGAAACAUCUUACUUGAGUUUGUAUACCAUCAUUAUCAGAUAAUUUUAAAAGAAAAAAUUAUUAAGUUUGAUUAUUUAAUAAAAUUAGAUCAUGGUGCAGUUUAUGAGUAAGGUAAAAUGGGUUACAAUAAAUUACUUUAUAGCGGAAUAAUAAUUAUGAAGAAGGAUUUGGUUGUAUUUUAGUUUAAUAAGCUAGUAAGAUAUAAGUUCUAAAUUGUGUACAUAUCGCCCGUCGCUUUC